GCCAUCUCUGCCUAGCUUUGCUUUCGAGAUACUGGUGUCGCUCUUCCCAUCUACUGUACAUCCUUCGCAAUGAGUUUCACCAUUUGGGCUUUAGGCUUAAUUUGGCUGGUUGGUUCCGUGCAUCCGCACACACUUCGUGCCCGCAAUAGGACUAAUGUGCCAACCGUGUACAUCGUCGGUGGCGAUCCCGCUAGCGCCGGUGAAUU